rnacentral:rRNA from 1 species
UACGAAGGGGGCUAGCGUUGUUCGGAAUUAUUGGGCGUAAAGCGUACGUAGGUGGAUACUUAAGUCAGGGGUGAAAUCCUGGGGUUCAACCUUGGAACUGUUUUUGAUACUGGGUAUCUCGAGUCUGGAAGAGGUGAGUGGAAUUCCGAGUGUAGAGGUGAAAUUCGUAGAUAUUCGGAGGAACACUAGUGGUGAAGGCGGCUUACUGGUUUGGUACUGACGCUGAGGUGUGAAAGCGUGGGGAGCAAACAGG